CCCUUAGAUGUUCUGGGCCGCACGCGCGCUACACUGAUGCGUUCAACGAGUUUACAACCUGGAUUGAUAGGUCUGGGUAAUCUUUUGAAUGCGCAUCGUGCUAGGGAUAGAUUAUUGCAAUUAUUAAUCUUGAACGAGGAAUUCCUAGUAAACGCAAGUCAUCAGCUUGCAUUGAUUACGUCCCUGCCCUUUGUACACACCGCCCGUCGCAGCUACUGAUUGAAUGGCUCGGUGAAAAAUUGGGACAGCAAUUGAAUUUGCUUAAGUGCAAAUCCAGUUACUGGAACUUUUUUAAACCUAUCCCUUUAGAAGAAGCUGAANUCGUANCA
rnacentral:rRNA from 1 species